GGUUGAAAUAGGGUGAUGGCAGCACGCCCGCAUUGUGUGCUGGAGACUUAGGUUCGAACCCUGGUCCAACCG